rnacentral:rRNA from 1 species
AUUGAACGCUGGCGGCAUGCUUUACACAUGCAAGUCGAACGGUAACAGGCCUUCGGGUGCUGACGAGUGGCGCACGGGUGAGUAAUGCAUCGGAACGUGCCCAGAGGUGGGGGAUAACGCAGCGAAAGCUGUGCUAAUACCGCACGUGAUCUGAGGAUGAAAGCGGGGGACCAGGCAGCAAUGUUUGGCCUCGCGCCUUUGGAGCGGCCUAUGUCAGAUUAGGUAGUUGGUGGGGUAAAGGCCUACCAAGCCGACGAUCUGUAGCUGGUCUGAGAGGACGACCAGCCACACUGGGACUGAGAUACGGCCCAGACUCCUACGGGAGGCAGCAGUGGGGAAUUUUGGACAAAGGGCGCAAGCCUGAUCCAGCAAUGCCGCGUGCGGGAAGAAGGCCUUCGGGUUGUAAACCGCUUUUGUACGGAACGAAAAGGCUCUGGCUAAUACCUGGGGCUGAUGACGGUACCGUAAGAAUAAGCACCGGCUAACUACGUG